rnacentral:rRNA from 1 species
ACUUUCGCCGUAUGGGCGCGGGGCGACCCGCGUCUUCAUAUACCUCUUCGUGUAGAAAGUCUUUGAAUGUUUUUACAAUCAUCGAGUCGUGACUUCUAGGAGACGCGAUUCUUUGAGACAAAAGUUAUCACAACUUUCAGCAAUGGAUCUCUUGGCUCUCGCAUCGAUGAAGAACGCAGCGAAUCGCGAUAUGUAAUGUGAAUUGCAGAUCUACAGUGAAUCAUCGAAUCUUUGAACGCACCUUGCGCUCCUCGGUGUUCCGAGGAGCAUGCCUGUUUGAGCGUCAGUAAAUUCUCAACCCCUCUCGAUUUGCUUCGAGUGGGGCUUGGAUAGUGGGGGCUGCCGGAGACCCGGAAUUCAUUCCGGGACUCGGGCUCCUCUGAAAUGCAUCGGCUUGCGGUCGACUUUCGACUUUGCGCGACAAAGCUUUCGGCGUGAUAAUGAUCGCCGUUCGCUGAAGCGCAUGAAUGAAUGGUCCCGUGCCUCUAAUCAGUCGACGCCUUCUGGGCGUCUUCCUUAUAGACGUUUGACCUCGAAUCAGGUAGGACUACCCGCUGAACUUAUGCUUAUCAAUAAGCGGAGGAUAAGAUACUAACAAGGAUUCCCCUAGUAACUGCGAGUGAACCGGGAAAAGCUCAAAUUUUGAAUCUGGCGGUCUUUACGGUCGUCCGAGUUG